GCUACGGGUGGCAGCAGUGAGGAAUAUUGGUCAAUGGCCGUAAGGCUGAACCAGCCAAGUAGCGUGAGGGAAGACUGCCCUAUGGGUUGUAAACCUCUUUUAUGCGGGGAUAAAGGUGUCCACGUGUGGAUGUUUGCAGGUACCGCAUGAAUAAGGACCGGCUAAUUCCGUGCCAGCAGCAGCGGUAAUACGGAAGGUCCGGGAGUUAUCCGGAUUUAUUGGGUGUAAAGGGAGCGUAGUCGGGUCUUUAAGCGGGCCGUGAAAUUUUGUGGCUCAACCAUGAGAGUGCGGGGCGAACUGGAGACCGUGAGUGCGGGUAAGGCAGGCGGAAUUCGUGGUGUAGCGGUGAAAUGCUUAGAUAUCACGAAGAACCCCGAUUGCGAAGGCAGCCUGCCGCAGCGUAACUGACGCUGAAGCUCGAAAGCGCGGGUAUCGAACAGGAUUAGAUACCCCAGUAGGC
rnacentral:rRNA from 1 species